CCGGUCGGCGUCCCAGGCGUGUCGCGGGACCGCCCUCGUGUGUGGGUGGCGGUGGGACCCCGCGCUGGUUUUCCUGGUGGCCCGGCCGUG
rnacentral:pre_miRNA from 1 species